GAGCAAUCUAUGCCCUGCAGAGCAAAGGAAAUCAUCUGAAAACGGGUAUCACUGGGUUUAUCUGUGGUUCUGAGGGUCUUGACAGUUCAGGUCUCAGCUCUUCUGCCGCGGUUGGUGUUGCAUAUUUGUUGGCUUUUGAGAGUGCAAAUGGUCUUGUAGUGAGCCCAACAGAAAAUAUUGAAUAUGAUAGGCUGAUUGAGAAUGAAUAUUUAGGUCUGAAAAAUGGGAUACUGGAUCAGUCUGCAAUACUGUUAUCCAGCUAUGGCUGUUUGACCUUCAUGAACUGCAAGACCAUAAAACACAAACUGAUACACCCGCCAACAGUGGAAAAUAAUCAUGAAGGAGAGUUCGGUAAUGCAUACAAGAUAUUGCUGGCCUUUUCAGGUCUUAAGCAGGCAUUGACAACAAAUCCCGGAUAUAAUCGGCGAGUUGCGGAGUGUCAAGAGGCUGCGAAGAUUCUGUUGCAAGCUUCGGGGGAUGAAGAGAUGGAACCUAUUCUAUCAAAUGUUAAACCAGAAGUUUUUGAAGCCCACAAGAGCAUAUUAGAACCCAACCUAGCUAAACGAGCAGAGCAUUAUUUCUCCGAAAAUGAGAGAGUUAUGAAAGGAAUUGAGGCUUGGGCUUCAGGAAACCUUAGAGAAUUCGGAGAGCUUAUUACAGCAUCUGGUCUAAGUUCUAUUCAAAACUAUGAGUGUGGUUGUGAACCACUUAUACAGCUAUAUCAGGUUCUUCUGAAGGCUCCUGGUGUACUUGGGACACGGUUCAGUGGUGCAGGAUUUCGAGGCUGCUGUAUUGCAUUUGUAGAAGCAGAUAAAGCAGAAGAAGCUGCAACUUUUGUCGUGGACGAGUACAGUAAGCUCCAGCCCGAGUUGGCUAGUCAUCUUAACCAAGGACCGGCUGUAUUAAUAUGUGAUGCAAGUGACUCUGCACGCGUGAUAAGCAACACUUUCAGUUAGCUAAACUAGUAAACGUUCA
rnacentral:misc_RNA from 1 species